rnacentral:rRNA from 1 species
UACGUAGGGUGCAAGCGUUGUCCGGAAUCAUUGGGCGUAAAGAGCGUGUAGGCGGCUUGGCAAGUCUGACGUGAAAGCCCGCGGCUCAACCGCGGAUUGUCGUUGGAAACUGCCUCGCUAGAGUCCGGAAGAGGCGAGUGGAAUUCCCGGUGUAGCGGUGAAAUGCGCAGAUAUCGGGAGGAACACCAAUGGCGAAGGCAGCUCGCUGGGACGUAACUGACGCUGAGACGCGAAAGCGUGGGGAGCAAAC